rnacentral:lncRNA from 1 species
CCACCUAUCAAACCCUUCUUCUUCCAAAUGACUUCCUUCCUCCCACACCCAUUUCAAUCCCCCAACCUUCCAUAGAUCUUCAUACCAUACUUUCUCUUCCACAUCGACCUCCUUCCUCUGAAAUACAUUUCAAACGACAACGACUUCCUUCCUCCGCUCAUCCAUUUUCUUCAUAUGCUUCUCCUACUGUCCGCUGUUUCCAGUCGCACAUCCUGGUUAAGAACGUCUUUUUGAUCAGCUAGUUCUACCUCGUUCUGUUUCGGAAACGCAUCUCCAGUCUUCUGUUGUUUUCAUUUUUUUUUUGUUUUCAACCCAAUCUCCGGUAGUUUUCUUCGAUCGUUCGUUACUUCGGCAGUAUUCCCAUUGUUCUUACUCGGUAAGUUUUUAUUGUGUUCUGUUACAUAUUGUUUUUACUUGUUUUGAUCUAGCGUUUUUACUAAUUUCGUUAUAACGCGUUUCUUUUUAACCCAACUGGUUUUUACUCAUUUCAUAUUUCUUUUGAUUUUGCGUCUUUACUGAUGUCAACCAAGUUUCCGGUCGUUAUCAUAUUUUUUUAUGUUUUCAACCCGGUCUCCGGUCUUUUUCUUCGAUUGUUCGUGACCUCAUCAGUAUCCCCAUUGUUCUUACUCGGUAAGUUUUCAAAUCAUAGAUGAGUUUGUUAUACUAGGUUCUUCUUUCCAUGUAAUAUGUUUUAUGUUCUGUACUUAUUGGUUUCUCAUUUUUCCCCAUUUUUUCACAUUGGUACUCGCAGAUCAUCCUUCUCGUGCUCAGAGGACUUGGACCAGAGUUUCAACCGUUUGUCACUUCAAUAACGACACGGUUCGACCAUGCCAUGACGUUCGCGACUCUGCAACAACUGCUCAUCGAUCAUGAAAUGCAAAUCGCACCUGCGCCGACAUCGAUUGAAUUCAAUAUCGCAACAAAGUUUCAUCAAGAUCACGCAAAAUCAAAUUUUUCGGCAAGAAAUCAGCCUUGCCAGAUCUGUUUGAAGAAAGGGCAUGGAGCUCUAAAUUGUUAUAAUCGGGUAAAUUUCGUCCGGUACCCUCCAAACACUACAAGAAAUCCGACCUUGUAUGGCGGUCUUUAGAUGGCGGAUUUCCGCCAUCUAAAGUGAUCCUCGGCGGAAAUCCGCCAUCUAAAGC